CUCCGGAAACCGGGGCUAAUACCGGAUAANAUUUUGAACCGCAUGGUUCAAUAGUGAAAGACGGUUUCGGCUGUCACUUAUAGAUGGACCCGCGCCGUAUUAGCUAGUUGGUAAGGUAACGGCUUACCAAGGCGACGAUACGUAGCCGACCUGAGAGGGUGAUCGGCCACACUGGAACUGAGACACGGUCCAGACUCCUACGGAGGCAGCAGUC
rnacentral:rRNA from 1 species